rnacentral:lncRNA from 1 species
GUCGAGGAGCAAAAACCAACCCACCCAUGACUCACAGGGCCCUGGAAGCAGAACGAGGCGCCCCAACCCAGACACUUGGGCUGCAUUGGAGAGGACAGAGUUGCCGUCCUGACCUGCUGUGAGCAGUGUGGCUGUGGCAAGAGACAGAUCAGCUCUGGGGGGAAGCCUCAAGCGAUGAAGCCAGGUCCCAGCACAGUGCAGCACGUCGGAGACCCUGCGGCACGUCGGAGACCCUGCAGAAGGGCCUAUUCAGUGAGUUCUCAAGGGUCGCUGGUGGACGCUCCCCUGCACUCAAGUCACCAAAUCCCACAGAGGGUUGGAGAAGAGGGGGCGGCUUUGCAGUGAGACAGACCUGCGUUCGAAUUCCAGCUUUGGUUCAAAUGACGAGCUGUGUGCCCUGGGGCAAGUCAUUUGUUUAGUUUUUGUUCAUCAACUUCCUCCUCUGUAAAAUGAGAAUGGACUUGAGUAAAAACAUGCCUGUGAAGUAUUUAGCAAAGAGCCGGCACAGGGUAAUCACUCACUGCAUAGUUACUACUGUCCUGGUCAUUGUCAUGACAAUUACCAGUCACUCUCUGUUUCCUUCCUGACUUUAGACGGCACAUCUAAAAGCCCCCACGACAACAUCUGACACAACGUAACGAGAUUGUAGCGCUGUCUAAGAAACAACCCUGCAAAGCAGCCACAAACUAGGCUCUCAUCCCGACGAUUUGAGCGCCCUGGUUACAUGGAAGUUUAAUUUCUUCCUGGCUAAAUCUAGAACGUGGGAAAUUCUGCAGAAAUAAAUGACCUAGUUUCUUGAACAGAAUAAACUGCAUGGGAAGAGGGGAAUGCAGGUGUGACAGGUGUAAAGAAAGCAGCCGGUGUGUGUAGGCCCUGGAUAAAACCUGAUUGAAACACAGUGACUGUAAGAAGGUCCCUCUCCCCACUUUUUUGAAAACCUCAAGAAAUUUGAGCAUAAGCCAAGUAUUAGUUUAAUUGUUAGAAAUCUUGUUAGAUAUAAUUGUAGAAGUGCAGUUAUGGGCUAAAUAUGUUUAUUUAUUAAAAAUACAUGAGGAAGUACUUUCAGGUAAAAUUGUAAUGCCUGGAAUUUGCUAGAAAAUCUCUGAGGAGAGAUCUGAGGGUGGGGAGAUGAAAGAAGCCAGGCAUGAGCCGGGGGAGGUACAGAGGCUGAGGCUGAACACCCUUCACUCUUCUUUCUACUCUCAUGUAAUGUGGAUGUUUCUAUAAUGAAGUAAGUAUAAAAGUCAACAAAACCUCCCACUAACCUAACUGUGUCCGGGUUUCCGAGGUUCCCGGUUUCAGCUCAGCUGCCUGUGUUCUGGGGAGGGACUCCUCUCCAGCUGAGGGAUCCGCGGGGACUGGCUCCCUCACACACACACAGCAGCACCUGCUGCCCGGGCACUCAGGCCUCUGCCUUACACCCUCUCUACCACGCUAGACACGCAGGACCCUGGGCCAGUGACCUAACCCCUCUGCACCUCGGAGCCUCCGUGUCAAACUGGGCUUGGGGAUAUCAAGCCUCUAGGCUUGUGUCUGCUGCAUAAGAAGCCCUCCAAAAGCAUUGCUCCACCCCUCUCUCGGGCUCUGUUCUCUCCUGGUCUAUCUAAACCUCAGAUGGCUACAGAAGCCCAGCACUCUGUGAGCCUGUCAGGGGAGCUGAUGGCCCCAGUGAUGCAGGCCUGGCAGUCUGGGGUGAGGAAGACAGCUCCAAGCCCAGUCACCUCUCCCUUCCUGUGCCUAUCUGUGAACUAGAGCUUCAAGCAGCUCCAAAUAAACUCGAGAGCUCCUGGCUAUGCAACAUUGAUAUCUUGGCCUCGAAGCGGGAAAUCUGAGCCAACUUAAUAUCUUCCUUGAAUAAUCUGCUAAUUUUGAUGCCAGGAGCACUUCACCAGCUGUCGAUAGCUCCAGUGAGAAAUGAACCAGAAGAGACACGUUUGACCUGCUGUGGAUUCAGAUCCAACCACACGUGUGGGACUUGGGAGACAGGCACGUGGGUGUGCACGUUGUCAGCAGGGGCUGGCUUCAGACUGAGGCUGAACACAUACAGGAGCCCAGACCAGGUGGCCUUGGCCCUUGUAGGCGAUGGUGAGAAUACUGAUUUGUAUUAAGAGGAAUGAAAGAUUUGGAGAGGAAGCAAUUCUGAUUUUCACCAUCAAAUGACAAGAACUGAUCUUCUGCCUUUAAGUAGUUAUAAUUAGGUCAUUGCAAAAUUAACAAAAUUAAUAAGCUUAUAUCUGGGAGACCUCUUAAGACAGCAGUGUCCAGCUGGGUAAUGGCACGGAUUAUGCCCACACAGCCUGGCCACUCUGUUGGGGGAGCAGCCCCCGCUGGAGCAGCCUAGGGAGAGGAUGCAGGCCUUCCCCAUCAGCUCAGCAGCUUAUGGCUCAGUGGGUUUAGAUGCUGGUAGUAAGCUCCUCACCCUCUUGCCCAAUGUCUACAAAGGGUUGUUUUGUUCAUGAUGUCCAGAGGUCUAGUUGCUCAUGACAGGUGGAUAAGUCCAGUGACUCCACUGGGGCCUGAGGCAGAAUUGUUGCGGCACCUCCUCGUUUCUCCCGUUCCCUCCCCUAUCCCAGGCAGGUCCUGGCUAAAGACGUCCUUGGCCAGCUGGGUGUCAGGGGUAGGAUCUUGCCCCUCAACUCCUGGCCACAGGGGGACUUUCUCCUUAUCUACAGCCCAGGCCAAUAGUCUCUUUCUCUGUCCUUAAGGGAUUUAGGGAAUAGCCGGUCCUCUCUCACCCUCGAAUGGAUCACAUGUUAUUGAUCUCAUGUGUCACCACCCAGGGUAGGUUUCUGUGGCCUGCAUCCAACUCCAGGCAGGCGCUGCUCCUCGUCUCCCAGGCACCACAGGCAUUUUCCUCCGUGUGCCCUCUCAGAGGCUGUGGUGGUGUGUGUGGAAAGAGCCUGCACCCCUUCUGUGUCAACUUCAUCACCAAUUAAGUAAAGCUUGGCAUCCUCAGAGGAAAGAUUUUAUUAUAAAUUCUUAACAUAUUUAGAAAUAUCAGCAUAAUCAUUAUAAUGCAUUAUUCAGUUAGUUAAAUGUGCUUUAAAAAAAAACAUGAAAUAUAUCUUCAUUGUACAGGCAUCUGUUGUUUCUUGCAAACGAUUAUCUGUCACUGAAUCAUCAAUUUUUUAUUUUAUUGUGUGUCUAAGGCUAUUUGUUCUAAUUAAGGCGCAUGCAUGGUGCCAAGCAGGCUUGCCUGACUGUGGAAGGGGCUCCAGUCCUGCUUUGUCUAACAGUCCUGAAUGUGCUGGAUGGGCAACCCCAGGA